UUAAACCUAAUGGCUCUUUCAUGAUUAUAUGAUAGGGGUGCAUGGCCGUUCUUAGUUCGUGGAGUGAUCUGUCUGCUUAAUUGCGUUUCAAAAUUUAACUUGAGGACCGGGUUUUGGUUUGGCUAGUGGUUCUACGAUGACUGUGAACUGUCAUGUCUUCGGAUGUGGACUAUUGGUCUAGGAUCACAUGACUUGCCCCUGGGACUCUUUUGAACGCAACGGACGUGAUUGCAACCCCUUGUUGAGAUUAGAGAUAGUCUCGAUAUUCACUGGACAAACUGGCUGCUUUAUGCAUUUUGUUGAAUGGUGGAUAAACUCGGGGGACUGCUGAC
rnacentral:rRNA from 1 species